rnacentral:lncRNA from 1 species
UUCAAACCAUCCUAAAUAAAUCCAAAAGUAAAGUUUUAUAUACACAAACUUAUGUUAAUUAACAAUUUCUUAUUGUUUAUAUAUUUAUUUUUAAUUUAUGAAAUUACAUUUUAUAUUACGUUUCUAGAUUUAUUUUUAAUUUACUAAAAUAUUUUAUGAAGUUAUAAUUUGAACGAGUUAUUUAUUUGAAUAUAUAAAAAUUUAAGGAAAAGAAAAUAAGAAAAUAUGCUUCACUUAUCCUCUUGGGCCUUUAGUUGGGCCUAUAGACAAUGCUUAAUCGGUACUUGAUCCAACUACCCGAAAUCUUAUGUCAAAUGAAUUAUCAGGAUUAUCCGAUAUCCACAACAGACAUUCUCCUUGUAUCCAAAUCUGACACCGAACAAAACUAUCCGAAUUUGUAUCUAA